rnacentral:rRNA from 1 species
GAACGCUGGCGGUGUGCUUAACACAUGCAAGUCGAACGGGCAAGAGCUGUAGCAAUACAGAAUUCUGCUAGUGGCAGACGGGUGAGUAAUACAUGGGAAUCUACCUUGCAGUGCGAAAUAACAGUUGGAAGCAAUUGCUAAUGUCGCAUAUAGCCGAGAGGUGAAAGAUUUAUCGCUGCAAGACGAGCCCAUGCAGGAUUAGCUAGUUGGUGGGGUAAUGGCUCACCAAGGCGACGAUCUUUAGUUGGUCUGAGAGGAUGAUCAGCCACACUGGAACUGAGACACGGUC